rnacentral:rRNA from 2 species
AACGGGAGUAGAACAACAGGGAUUGCCCUAGUAACGGCGAGUGAAGCGGCAACAGCUCAAAUUUGAAAUCUGGCCUCUUUGGGGUCCGAGUUGUAAUUUGCAGAGGGCGCUUUGGUGUUGGCAGCGGUCCAAGUUCCUUGGAACAGGACGUCACAGAGGGUGAGAAUCCCGUACGUGGUCGCUAGCCCUCACCGUGUAAAGCCCCUUCGACGAGUCGAGUUGUUUGGGAAUGCAGCUCUAAAUGGGAGGUAAAUUUCUUCUAAAGCUAAAUACUGGCCAGAGACCGAUAGCGCACAAGUAGAGUGAUCGAAAGAUGAAAAGCACUUUGGAAAGAGAGUUAAAAAGCACGUGAAAUUGUUGAAAGGGAAGCGCUUGCAGCCAGACUUGCCUGUAGUUGCUCAUCCGGGUUUUUACCCGGUGCACUCUUCUGCGGGCAGGCCAGCAUCAGUUUGGGCGGUUGGAUAAAGGUCUCUGUCAUGUACCUCUCUUCGGGGAGAACUUAUAGGGGAGACGACAUGCAACCAGCCUGGACUGAGGUCCGCGCAUCUGCUAGGAUGCUGGCGUAAUGGCUGUAAGCGGCCCGUCUUGAAACACGGACCAAGGAGUCUAACAUCUAUGCGAGUGUUUGGGUGUCAAGCCCGAGCGCGUAAUGAAAGUGAACGGAGGUGGGAACCUUUCGGGGUGCACCAUCGACCGAUCCUGAUGUCUUCGGAUGGAUUUGAGUAAGAGCAUAGCUGUUGGGACCCGAAAGAUGGUGAACUAUGCUUGAAUAGGGUGAAGCCAGAGGAAACUCUGGUGGAGGCUCGCAGCGGUUCUGACGUGCAAAUCGAUCGUCAAAUUUGGGCAUAGGGGCGAAAGACUAAUCGAACUAUCUAGUAGCUGGUUCCUGCCGAAGUUUCCCUCAGAUAGCAGUAACGUUUUCAGUUUAUGAGGUAAAGCGAAUGAUUAGAGGCCUGGGGGUUGAAAAACCUUC